UGUUACCUGCAGCUCACACCAGGCCACCUCCACGGACGUCUCCGUGUCGAGCGCUCUGUAAACCGACUUGAAGGAUCCUCGUCCGAUCUCGAUGUUGAACUUCAGGAAGCGUCCGUCCGGAGACGAGUCCAUGGCCUGCGUCUCCUCCUCGUCGCGCUCCUACCUUACUCGGUUUCCAUGGAAACGAAGCCGCCGUCUCUUCCCCCGAGUCCGAGCUGACCGGAUUGGUCAGAGGGUUCGCGGCGUCUGAUUGGACGGCGGGGGUCGUCAUGGUUACAGGAGGAGGAAGAAUUUACUCUUCUUCUUCAGGUCUCUUCUUGGUUGGCUCGCUGGGCAGCGUACUCCUCGUGGCCUCGGCGCCAACGGUUCGAGCCCCUCGCUGUGAUGUCACAGGAGUGGGAGGAGCCAGCGGACGGUGUUUGAACUGCAGUUGGACACACGAAAAUUAUUUUACACGUUUCUUUUAAUUAUUUUAAAAAUGUUUUAUUCUUUAUUCUUAUUUAAAUUGAAUUUGUUUAUAUUUUCUGCAGCUCCUCCUCAUGUAAUAAGAAUAAAAAUACAUUAAAUAAAUAAUACUCAUGAUAAUAAUAAUAAUAAUAAUAAUAAUAAUAAUAAUAAUAAUAAUAACUAUUAAUAACUAAUUUACUGUAUUGACAUUCAAAAACAUUUAAAUCAAAUGUUAAAUUAUAAUACAUUAUAUUAUACUAUAUUAUAGUAAAUUGUAAAAUGUAUUAUUACAUUAUAUAAUAAUAAUAUUAUAAUAAUAUAAUAUUACAUUACAUUAUUAUUAUUAAUAUAUAUAUUACAGGGUCACCGGCAGUCCUCUUUUCUCCUUGUCCUUCUUCUUCAUAAUUCUUCUCCUUCUCCGUCUUCUCCUUCUUCUCCUUUUCCUUCUUCUUCUCCUUCUUUUUCUUCUUUUCCGUCUCCUUCUUCUCCUUUUCCUUCUUCUCCUUCUCAUUCUUCUUCUCCUUCUUCUUCUCCUUCUUCUCCUUCUUUCCGUCUCCUUCUCCUUUUCCUUCUUCUUCUCCUUUUCCUUCUUCUCCGUCUCCUUUUCCUUCUCCUCCUUCUUCUCCUUCUUCUCCUUCUUUCCGUCUUCUCCUUCUCCUUUUCCUUCUCCUUUUCCGUCUCCUUCUCCUCCUUCUUUUCCGUCUCCUUCUUCUCCUUCUCCUCCUUCUUUUCCGUCUCCUCCUUCUUUUCCAUCUUCUUCUUCUCCUUCUUCUCCUCCUCCUUCUCCUUCUUCUCCUUUUCCUUCUUUUCCGUCUUCUUCUCCUUCUCCUCCUCCUUCUUCUCCUUCUUUUCCGUCUUCUCCUUCUCCGUCUUCUCCUUCUCCUUCUUUUUCUUCUCCUUCUUCUCCUUUUCCUUCUUCUUUUCCGUCUCCUUCUUCUCCUUCUCAUUCUUCUUCUCCUUCUCCUCCUUCUUUUCCGUCUUCUUCUUCUCCUUCUUUUCCGUCUUCUUCUUCUCCUCCUUCUUUUCCAUCUUCUUCUCCUUCUCCUCCUUCUUUUCCAUCUUCUUCUUCUCCUUCUCCUUCUUUUCCGUCUUCUUCUCCUCCUUCUCCUCCUUCUUUUCCGUCUUCUUCUUCUUCUCCUUCUUUUUCUCCUUCUUUUCCGUCUUCUUCUUCUCCUUCUCCUUUUCCAUCUUCUUCUUCUCCUUCUCCUCCUCCUCCUCCUCCUCCUUUUUCUUCUUCUUCUUCUCCUUCUUUUUCUUCUUCUCGCCCAGCAGUGUUCGUCUGCGUUGAAGCAGCAAAGACUGCUGUCAAUUAUUACAAGAAAGAACGGACAACAAUCGAUCGUCAAGGAUACUUGUGAAGCGAUGUGUUGUGUGGGGCCGUCUCCAGCUUUCUGUGGCCAAAAGAGGAUAAAAUGUUGCGUUUAUGGACAAGACAAGUGCGUCGAUGAAACCAAUGAUUUGUGCACUUUGAGAGAUCGUGUUUCCAACAAACUGCUCGCCAAGGAAAUGAGAUUCAAAAAAGAAACUCAUAAUCGGUCUAGACCUACUGUAUGUCACGAGUUUACACCAGGCCCUUAAAUUAAAUGAACUACACAAACAUGUGGGUAGGCUAUAUAAGGAGAUAUACAAACAUGUAGGCCGAUAUGAAAGGCUUCAAUCCUUCUCCCAGCACAGGAACAUUAAUCAUCUCCAAGUUGCUGACCCAGAGUGCCCUCUACAUCCGCAUGUUCCAGAGAGUUAAGGAACGGGCCCCAUACUUUUUAAAUAGUUCUUGUUUUCCUUUAAUUGAAUAGGUUAUGUUCUCUAAUGAGACACAUGCAGACAUUUCUUUUAGCCAUUUACCAAUACUUGUUUACAUUUCUCCAUGAAAGUGCUAUCAUACGUGUUGCCUGUAGCAGACAGAGAUUUAAAAAGAUUUGUUCUUUCUUCCUUAUGUUGUGUUCUUGUGGGUAACACCCUAACACAAGAAGCCUGGGCUCCAUGCUUAACUGCAAUGAUAGAAUCUCUUCUAUCAUACAUUUAACCUCCUCCCAAAACGUUCUUAUCUUGGUACACUCCCAAACACAAUGGAAGAACGUUCCCUUGGAUUGUCCACAUUUAAAACAUAAGUCUGGGAUAUUACCAUUAAACUUGUUUAGCUUGUCUGGAGUAAUAUAUGUACGCAUUAGCCAGUUAUAUUGUAAGAGCUUAAGACGGGUAUUCGCUGUUUGUGAUUGUGCUUUCUUGCAGGCACCUUCCCACUCAUCAAUUGAAAGGUCUUCUUGCAAAUCCUCCAAUUUCUAAGUUUCCCUUCGGAGGACUCGGGGGACGCAGAUAUAAGCAAGUUAUAAAGUGCAGAAAUUAAGUGUUUCCCCCCUACAGUCCUUUAAUAUUGUGUUCUCUAGUGGUGAGUAUGGAGGUAUAGAUCAUAACUGUUUUUGGUUUGCUCCAAUAAAGCUUCUAAUUUGUAAAGAUUUGUAAAAAUGUUUCUGUGGAAUGUUGUGUUGACUUGCAAGCUCCUCAAACGCCAUCAGUUCAUCAUCAUUGAGCCGAUAUAGAUCCUGAACUCUCUGUACACCCUUAUCUGAGCAAACCUUAAACCCACUAUCAGCUCUGCCUGGAGUGAAGUCAUCAUUUCCCCAAACUGGACUAAAGCGUGAGAGAAAGGGGCCCGAGUACUUCCUCACUUCAUGCUCUAAUCAUGUUCCUAGUAAUAGGGUUAGUGUUUCUUUGUACGUUUCUUCAGACGAGUACAAACACAUGGGAAGAGGUAGCUCUAAACAUUGGGACUCCAUCUCUCUCCAGGCAGGGAGGUUGUUGUUUGCAAAAUAAAACAUCGUAGUCCUUAACUGAGUUGCCCAGUAGUACCAGAGAGGAUUAGGACACGCAAGGCCCCCC
ensembl:lncRNA